GCUACUGCUAUCGGGGUUCGAUUAAGCCAUGCGAGUUAAAUGUUCUUCGUGAACAUAGCGAACUGCUCAGUAACACGUGGAUAACCUACCCUUAGGACCGGAAUAACCCCGGGAAACUGGGGAUAAUACCGGAUAAGCCAUAGGCGCUGGAAUGCCCUAUGGUUCAAAGCUCCGGCGCCUAAGGAUGGAUCUGCGGUCUAUCAGGUUGUAGUGGGUGUAACGUACCUACUAGCCGACGACGGAUACGGGUUGUGAGAGCAAGAGCCCGGAGAUGGAUUCUGAGACACGAAUCCAGGCCCUACGGGGUGCAGCAGGCGCGAACACUUUACAAUGCGGGAAACCGCGAUAAGGGAACCCCGAGUGCCAGCAUCAAAUGUUGGCUGUCCAGAUGAUUAAAAAUCAUUUGUUAGCAAGGGCCGGGCAAGACCGGUGCCAGCCGCCGCGGUAACACCGGCGGCCCGAGUGGUAGCCGUUUUUAUUGGGUCUAAAGGGUCCGUAGCCGGCCUGAUAAGUCCUUUGGGAAAUCUGGCAGCUUAACUGUCAGGCUUCUAAGGGAUACUGUCAGGCUUGGGACCGGAAGAGGUAAGGGGUACUCCAGGGGUAGGAGUGAAAUCUUGUAAUCCCUGGGGGACCAUCUGUGGCGAAGGCGCCUUACCAGAACGGGUCCGACGGUGAGGGACGAAAGCUAGGGGAGCAAACCGGAUUAGAUACCCGGGUAGUCCUAGCUGUAAACGAUGCUCGCUAGGUGUCA
rnacentral:rRNA from 1 species